AAAUAAAUUUUUUAUGGUUUUAAUAAUUUAUUUAAAAUUUAUUUUACAUAUAAAUUUUAGUGUUAAUUUUACUUUAUUUUAAUAAUAAUUUAAUUUAUUUGUAGUAAUUAAUAUUAAAUAAUUUAAGAAAUUAAGAUUUAGUAAUAUUUGAAUUAAUAACAAAUUUUGUGCCAGCAGUUGCGGUUAAACAAAAGUUAAUUUAAAUUUUAUUAAUAAUUAAUAAAUAAUUGAAAAUUUAUAAUAAUUUUAUUAUAAAUUAAAAUAAUAUAAAUUUUAAAUUAUUAGGUGAAAUUUUAAUUUAAUUUAAUAUUCAUAAUGUAUUUAUGAUUUAAUAAAUUUUAUAAAAAACUAGGAUUAGAUACCCUAUUAUUAAAAAUUUAAAUUCAAAAUACUAAAAUAGUAUGUAAUUAUUUAUUGAAACUUAAAUAAUUUGGCGGUAUUUUAGUUCAUUUAGAGGAAUCUGUUUAUUAAUUGAUAAUCCACGAAUAAUUUUACUUAAUUUAUAAUUUUGUAUAUCGUUGUUAAAAAAAUAUUUUUAAAUAAAUUUAAUAUUUAAAAAUUUUAAUUAAAAAUUAAAUCAGAUCAAGAUGCAGGUAAUAAUUAAGAAUAUAAUGGAUUACAAUAAAUUUAUUUAAAUGAAUAUUAAAUUGAAAAAUUUAAUUGAAAGUGGAUUUAAAUGUAAUUUUAUUUAAUUUAAUAAAAUGAUUAAAAAUUAAAAUAUGUACAUAUUGCCCGUCGCUUUCAUUUAUAAAUUGAAAUAAGUCGUAACAAAGUAGGGGUACUGGAAAGUGUUCCUAGAAAGAU
rnacentral:ncRNA from 1 species